GGAAAAGAAAAAUCAAGAAGAUGAAGGGUGAAAGAGAGCAAAAAUUCGGCAGCAAUGAUGAGAAAAAAGACAAGAGGGUAGAGGAUUUUUGGGAAAAGUAAAAAAAAGAAAAAAAAAGACAAAUAGGAUAUUUGAUAACCACCUCAAUCCCUUAUUUCUCUCCAUCAAACUCCCCACUAAAUCCACUACUCAGAUUUUUAGUCCAUCUCAAACUCUCCUGGACGCACAAGCAAAUAUAUUGCCCACACCAAAAUUCGAACACAGGACCCCCUUCACAACAAUACUCC
rnacentral:lncRNA from 1 species